UGAGGAAUAUUGGUCAAUGGGCUGAGGCCUGAACCAGCCAAGUCGCGUGAGGGAAGACGGUCCUAUGGAUUGUAAACCUCUUUUGCCGGGGAGCAAGACGGUCACGAGUGACCUACUGAGAGUACCCGGAGAAAAGCAUCGGCUAACUCCGUGCCAGCAGCCGCGGUAAUACGGAGGAUGCGAGCGUUAUCCGGAUUUAUUGGGUUUAAAGGGUGCGUAGGCCGACUGUCAAGUCAGUGGUAAAAUUGAGAGGCUCAACCUCUUCGAGCCAUUGAAACUGGCGGUCUAGAGUGGGCGAGAAGUAUGCGGAAUGCGAGGUGUAGCGGUGAAAUGCAUAGAUAUCACGCAGAACUCCGAUUGCGAAGGCAGCAUACCGGCGCCCGACUGACGCUGAGGCACGAAAGCGUGGGUAUCGAACAGGAUUAGAUACC
rnacentral:rRNA from 1 species